AACGCCGAAAACGAUCGAUCUCUCGUUGAACAACGACCAUGACCAUUUCCAUUUCUCUUUGAAGAAGACUCUCUCUCUCUCUGGAUCCUCAAAAUCCCUAAUUCCUUCAUCCUUCUCAUGGAUUCUCAAUCGUUUUCGCAUCAAUUGGGUUGCAUCGGAUCCCCGAUUGGAUUUGAUGAAUCAGUCGUGGAGACGCGACUGACUGGCUCAGACUCUGGUCCAGGAGCUUGGACUUUGAUUAUGUAACAUAGAGAUGAGAUCAACAAUUCAUCGGAUGCACCUGCUCAACCAAAACCAGUCCUUUUCCGUGUACCACUUCAAGUUCUGUGACAUCAUUAUCUCAAAGGUCAACUUGUAGUAGUCCUAUUCGAAGCUACUACUAAAUUCAGAUUUUUGAAGAAGAAGAAGAUUCAGAGAGGGUCAGUUAUGUGUUGAACGUAAACCAAAGGAAGAGAAUCUGGAGAUCUGUGGAUAUAUUCAAAACGGCCUUUGAAUGCUUGAUCUUGAGAUGAUUUGUUAACCCGAAACUGUUGUUACUCUCUAGUACACAUUAGUAAAGAGUUCCAUCUACAUUGCCAUUUAUUGAUUAGAGUUGGAAAUCCGUAAUUUUUUUUCCUGAAUGUACCAGCGAGCGAGUACUGCACCAUGCAGACCUGCAUUACAUAUCAUUUCGUGUAUAACAUACAUGUUCUUAAUCCCAAUAUGUUCCUCCAGCAUCUUUGGAGCUCUCUAGGUUUCUGCACUUGAGGUUAGGCAACUGUCCAGAGAGGGAGGAGUUGGGUUGAUAAGUUGUUUGCAUCUGUCGAUGGCGUAGAUUAUGCAGGUCUUUUGGUUUUAGGAAACUUCUGAUGACACUUUAGAUACUAAUUUUCGAGAGUUGAGCUUUGUUGCUUCAAUUCCAACUGCACCUAGGUUCUGUCUUCAAAGAGUCUUUUUUGCUUUCUCCAGAAUUGAUUACAGGGUACUUUCCUUGAGCCUCUAUCCUGAGCUGCAAAUGUCGCUAUAGCUAUACCUGGCUCAGUUUCAACUUUUUUUUUUAAGCUAAAUGCUUAGUUCUUCUCUCUGUUUCUAUAUAGUUCUUCUAGCCUCUAUUGCUGCUUUAGGCUUAUGAUUUUCACUGAUUAAUGUGUUUCUACA